UCCAAUGUGGUGUAGUGGUUAACAUUGCUGUCUUUCACCUGUCGAUGUUCACAGCAGCCCGGGGUUCGAUUCCCCGCAUUGGAA